rnacentral:rRNA from 1 species
CACGUAGGGUGCGAGCGUUGUCCGGAAUUAUUGGGCGUAAAGAGCUCGUAGGCGGUGUGUCGCGUCGGCCGUGAAAACCUGCAGCUUAACUGUGGGCUUGCGGUCGAUACGGGCAUCACUGGAGUUCGGCAGGGGAGACUGGAAUUCCUGGUGUAGCGGUGAAAUGCGCAGAUAUCAGGAGGAACACCGGUGGCGAAGGCGGGUCUCUGGGCCGAUACUGACGCUGAGGCACGAAAGCCAGGGGAGCAAACGGG